GAUGAACGCUGGCGGCGUGCUUAACACAUGCAAGUCGAACGGAAAGGCUCCUGCUUGCAGGGGUACUCGAGUGGCGAACGGGUGAGUAACACGUGGGUGAUCUGCCCUGCACUUCGGGAUAAGCCUGGGAAACUGGGUCUAAUACCGGAUAGGACGAUGGUUUGGAUGCCAUUGUGGAAAGUUUUUCGGUGUGGGAUGAGCUCGCGGCCUAUCAGCUUGUUGGUGGGGUAAUGGCCUACCAAGGCGUCGACGGGUAGCCGGCCUGAGAGGGUGUACGGCCACAUUGGGACUGAGGUACGGCCCAGACUCCUACGGGAGGCAGCAGUGGGGAAUAUUGCACAAUGGGCGCAAGCCUGAUGCAGCGACGCCGCGUGGGGGAUGACGGCCUUCGGGUUGUAAACUCCUUUCGCUAGGGACGAAGCGCAAGUGACGGUACCUGGAGAAGAAGCACCGGCUAACUACGUG
rnacentral:rRNA from 1 species